ACUCUAGUAGUUUAUCAAAAACACUGGUCUUGUAAACCAGAGAAUGAAAGCUCAUCCUUUCCUAGAGU
rnacentral:tRNA from 1 species